rnacentral:rRNA from 1 species
GGCGAACGGGUGAGUAACACGUGGGCAAUCUGCCCUGCACUCUGGGACAAGCCCUGGAAACGGGGUCUAAUACCGGAUACUGAUCCUCGCAGGCAUCUGCGAGGUUCGAAAGCUCCGGCGGUGCAGGAUGAGCCCGCGGCCUAUCAGCUAGUUGGUGAGGUAACGGCUCACCAAGGCGACGACGGGUAGCCGGCCUGAGAGGGCGACCGGCCACACUGGGACUGAGACACGGCCCAGACUCCUACGGGAGGCAGCAGUGGGGAAUAUUGCACAAUGGGCGAAAGCCUGAUGCAGCGACGCCGCGUGAGGGAUGACGGCCUUCGGGUUGUAAACCUCUUUCAGCAGGGAAGAAGCGAAAGUGACGGUACCUGCAGAAGAAGCGCCGGCUAACUACGUGCCAGCAGCCGCGGUAAUACGUAGGGCGCAAGCGUUGUCCGGAAUUAUUGGGCGUAAAGAGCUCGUAGGCGGCUUGUCACGUCG